GACGAACGCUGGCGGCGUGCUUAACACAUGCAAGUCGAACGGAAAGGCCCUGCUUUUGUGGGGUGCUCGAGUGGCGAACGGGUGAGUAACACGUGAGUAACCUGCCCUUGACUUUGGGAUAACUUCAGGAAACUGGGGCUAAUACCGGAUAGGAGCUCCUGCUGCAUGGUGGGGGUUGGAAAGUUUCGGCGGUUGGGGAUGGACUCGCGGCUUAUCAGCUUGUUGGUGGGGUAGUGGCUUACCAAGGCUUUGACGGGUAGCCGGCCUGAGAGGGUGACCGGCCACAUUGGGAAUGAGAUACGGCCCAGACGACUACGGGAGGCAGCAGUGGGGAAUAUUGCACAAUGGGCGGAAGCCUGAUGCAGCAACGCCGCGUGCGGGAUGACGGCCUUCGGGUUGUAAACCGAUUUCGACUGUGACGAAGCGUGAGUGACGGUAAUGGGUAAAGAAGCACCGGCUAACUACGUG
rnacentral:rRNA from 1 species